UAUUGGACAAUGGGCGAAAGCCUGAUCCAGCCAUGCCGCGUGAGUGAUGAAGGCCCCCAGCCCUUGUAAAGCUCUUUUGUGCGGGAAGAUAAUGACGGUACCGCAAGAAUAAGCCCCGGCUAACUUCGUGCCAGCAGCCGCGGUAAUACGAAGGGGGCUAGCGUUGCUCGGAAUCACUGGGCGUAAAGGGUGCGUAGGCGGGUCUUUAAGUCAGAGGUGAAAUCCUGGAGCUCAACUCCAGAACUGCCUUUGAUACUGAGGAUCUUGAGUUCGGGAGAGGUGAGUGGAACUGCGAGUGUAGAGGUGAAAUUCGUAGAUAUUCGCAAGAACACCAGGGCGAAGGCGGCUCACUGCCCGAUACUGACGCGAGGCACGAAA
rnacentral:rRNA from 1 species